AUGACCCAUGCUUCUUUUUAACCUUAAAUAAAUGACAAUAAAAACAAGUUAACAUGUUACUUGAAGAACCGUAUUUUUUUGUAGCAUUAAAAUAUUAAAAAUGUAUAAUUUAAAAUUAAAUUGAAUAAUCGGUACAUUUAACAGCAUGUUUUUGAUGUAAAUUAUCAAUAAAAAAACUCUUAGACUUCAGAUGAAAAACGCGGCUAACAUGUCAAAGUGUGUUAAAAAUCAGUUCUAAUAUUUUUUGUUUUUAGUUAUCCGUGCCCUCUUGGUGGACAAACAACAUUUGACAAUCAGAAGAACAUUAACCAAAUUUUUCACCGGUAUUGUUAUUCAAUACACACAGAUUAUUGGCACGUUUAACCUAGGUUUUUUUAAGGCUCAAAUUAAAGGCCUAAAGCUUUACCAUAUACACUCAAAAAUAAAUUGUAUUUUUCAUUAUUGAUAGAAUAAAAUGUUGUCUGAAGAAUCAGCACAUCAAGUGGUUGCUGAUUAUAAACUCUUAUUGAUAUUUAAUUAUUGAUGACAAAUAACUGACAACUUUUGGAGUGGGAAAUGGUUGAUGAUUUUGUGGAUACAUCAAUAGAAAUGUUGUUGAGUGAAGGCAAACUUGAAGAAUAUAGUCUUUUGAAAAAUUCAAAGGAGUGUCGAUUAAAUGGACGUCUUUCUAUUAUGCAAGUUUUGCAAACAACAUGUAUGUGUUUAUUUGAUUAUCCAGAUCUAGUUAUUGAAUAUCAACGUUUUUUUUCAAGUGAACAAGUUACAUUUCACAAUGAUUUUAAUCGAGAUGGAGAAUUUACACAAAUAUUAAUCAGUAUUGCUGCUGAUUUACCAACUUCUACAUCUGCUGCAGCUGUUAUUAUCAAUAGAAGAAAUGGAAUUGUACAAUGUACAAUUGUUUUAUAGCUUUUUUAAAAAUUUUUUCUAGAUUUAAUUGUUUUUAAAUAAUUAAAUUUAGUUAAUUAGCAUAAAUAAAUUUGAAAAAAAACAAACAAACAAAAAACAAUCAAUUAAUUAUUAAACUUUUAAGUGUGUUUUAUAAAAAAAUUAUUAUCAACUAAAAUUGAGCUUUUUAUGGACAUAUCACAUAUAAAAGUCAAGAUAUGUAUAGUUGACUCACUUGCUGUAUAAUGUAUCAGUUGAUGAGACAAUUUGUUUGUUGAAUUUGAAAUGAUGUUUAAUGACAAUUUACGUUUGUUGAAGUUGUUUAUCUUGUAAAUAAAAUAAAGUAUCAAAAAAUGUACCAAGUCGUUUCAAAGUUGAGAUUGAUAAGCUCUGAUUAGUGAGUUAAUCAAUUGACAAGCUUCCAAUAAGUCUAUUUAUUCAGACUUGUUAAUCCAAGCUUGUGAUAAAACUUAAUGUCAACACUAUUUUUUUAUCAUUAAAUUUAAUCGAAACAUAUAUCCAUUUAGCUUAAUUUCGAAAGCAAUAUAUAUUACUCAAAAAAUGACGUAAAAACAAACGAAAUCUAUUUAAAUAAGAUGAAUGUAUUUAUCAGAGUUAUCAAUAAUAAUUUUUUUAUGAUCAUUAGAAUAGAAUAUGAAUGUAAUAAGUAUAAUAAUU